CCACAAGCAAUAGUCUGUUUUUAACAUUCCGCCUGUUAAAAAGUCUACCAAAAUGAAAUACCUUCUUGUGAUUUUCGCUCUUAUUGCAUGUAUUUUUGGACUUUGUCGAGGAGACAUCUGUGCAAAAGAUUUGAAAAGUGGAAAUAAUCAAAACUUUCCUUCUCGUUUACAUAUGACCAUUGUAAAUACACAAGGUGGAAAAUACAAAUUCCUACAUAAUGGACUAUGUUAAUAUCUAUAUAUUAAAUAUUUUGAAUGACGCAAAUAAAAUCUACAUCUAUUGUUAAACAGUUAUGUAAAAUGUUUGUGUACUAUUAAAAAAAUACGCUCACACCUCAAGAAAA